UAACACAGCCAUAUCACCCUGCAGCCCAAGACUGGUCACCCACUGAAGCUAAGCAGGGUUGAGCCUGGUCAGUACCUGGAUGGGAGACUCCUGGGAAAACUAGGUUGCUGCUGGAA
rnacentral:rRNA from 1 species